rnacentral:misc_RNA from 1 species
AAGUCGUAACAAGGUUUCCGUAGGUGAACCUGCGGAAGGAUCAUAUCCAAACGUUAAACCCCCCUGUGAACCUUCAGUCGUACUCGUACGUCCGUUAGAAAAAGCAGCAAUCCCUGGUAAAUCAUCGCCGAACAGUUUUCGAUUCAGGGACGCCUGCAAGGAGCGUGCAUGUUGGGGUGUGAUAAGGGGGCUUGCACCCGGUGACCCGGUCGUCGGCCGUGUGGGCCUCCAACGAUCGUGACUGCGUCAUCCUUACACAUGUUAGUGACACUUUCGGACACUAACGUUAGUGACACUUUCAGACACUAACUGCUUGGGGAUGCCAGGCCACUUACACGCACUGCUCUAUCUAUGGUGAUCCUGCGGGAAGUCCUGCGGUCGAACGCCGAAACCGAACAACUGUUAACAAUGGAUAUCUUGGGUCUC